rnacentral:rRNA from 1 species
UACGUAGGGGCCGAGCGUUGUCCGGAAUUAUUGGGCGUAAAGGGCUCGUAGGCGGUCUGUCGCGUCGGGUGUGAAAACUUACAGCUUAACUGUGAGCGUGCUUCCGAUACGGGCAGACUUGAGGUAUUCAGGGGAGAACGGAAUUCCUGGUGUAGCGGUGAAAUGCGCAGAUAUCAGGAGGAACACCGGUGGCGAAGGCGGUUCUCUGGGAAUAUCCUGACGCUGAGGAGCGAAAGUGUGGGGAGCGAACAGG